rnacentral:rRNA from 1 species
AUUGAACGCUGGCGGCAGGCCUAACACAUGCAAGUCGAGCGGACGUAGUUAGCUUGCUCCUGGCUUCAGCGUCGGACGCGCGUGUAAUGCUUAGGUUCCUUUCUGGUUGUGGGGGAUAACGUUCGGCUACUGGCGCUAAUACCGCAUACCUCCUGAGGGUGAAAGCGGGGGGUCUUCGGCCCUCCCGCUUUCAUAUUAGCCUAGGUCGGAUUAGCUAGUUGGUGGGGUAAAUGCCUAACAAAGCGACGUUCCGUAACUGGUCUGAGAGGAUGCUCAGUCAGACUGGAACUGAGAACGGGUCCAGACUCCUACAGGAGGAAGCAGUGGGGAAUAUUAGACGAUGGGGGAAAGCCUAAUCCAGCAAUGCCGCGUGUGUGAAGAAGGAGUUAGGAUUGUAAAGCACUUUAGGUUGGGGGGAAGGACAGUAAGUUAAUACCUUACGGUAUUGACGUUACCAAAAGAAUAAGCACCGGCUAACUUCGUG